AGUAACGCUGGCGGCGUGCUUACACAUUGCAAGUCGAACGAACCUUCGGGUUAGUGGCGGACGGGUGAGUAACGCAUCUUGCCCUCAGGAGGGGGACAACAGCUGGAAACGGCUGCUAAUACCCCAUAUGCCGCGAGGUGAAAUGAAUUUCGCCUGAGGAUGAGCUCGCGUCUGAUUAGCUAGUUGGUGUAGGUAAUGGCUCACCAAGGCAUCGAUCAGUAGCUGGUCUGAGAGGAUGAUCAGCCACACUGGGACUGAGACACGGCCCAGACUCCUACGGGAGGCAGCAGUGGGGAAUUUUCCGCAAUGGGCGAAAGCCUGACGGAGCAACGCCGCGUGAGGGAUGAAGUGCCUCUGGGCUGUAAACCUCUUUUAUCAAGGAAGAAGAUCUGACGGUACUUGAUGAAUAAGCCACGGCUAAUUCCGUGCCAGCAGCCGCGGUAAUACGGGAGUGGCAAGCGUUAUCCGGAAUUAUUUGGGCGUAAAAGCGUCCGCACGCGGCCCUUCAAGUCUUGCUGUUAAAAAGUUGGAGCUUAACAUCCCAUCAUGGGCAGGUGGAAACUUGGUGGGGCUUUGAGCUUGUUCGGUCACGGGGGCACACAGGACAUUCCCCCGGGUGUAAGCCGGGUUGAAAAUCGCCGUUACCAUAUUCCGGGGAAGAAACACCCAUGGCAGAAAGCGCUCUUGGCUGCGCCCAUUCACAUUGACGGCUCAUU
rnacentral:rRNA from 1 species